rnacentral:rRNA from 1 species
AGAGUUUGAUCAUGGCUCAGGAUGAACGCUAGCGGAGGCCUAACACAUGCAAGCCGAGCGGUAUUGUUUCUUCGGAAAUGAGAGAGCGGCGUACGGGUGCGGAACACGUGUGCAACCUGCCUUUAUCUGGGGAUAGCCUUUCGAAAGGAAGAUUAAUACUCCAUAAUAUAUUGAACGGCAUCGUUUAAUAUUGAAAGCUCCGGCGGAUAGAGAUGGGCACGCGCAAGAUUAGCUAGUUGGUGAGGUAACGGCUCACCAAGGCAAUGAUCUUUAGGGGCCUGAGAGGGUGAUCCCCCACACUGGUACUGAGACACGGACCAGACUCCUACGGGAGGCAGCAGUGAGGAAUAUUGGUCAAUGGGUGCAAGCCUGAACCAGCCAUCCCGCGUGAAGGCGACUGCCCUAUGGGUUGUAAACUUCUUUUGUAUAGGGAUAAACCUUUCCACGUGUGGAAAGCUGAAGGUACUAUACGAAUAAGCACCGGCUAACUCCGUG